GCUGAGUUGGGUAACUUCAACUUGUAACCCAAGUGGGGGCAUUAAGGUGAUGGAACACAGCUUUGGCUUGUCAGGUUGGUCUGGAGGGUGCACCAUGUUGGCCUGCCCACUCCAAGUUGAGAGUUGAGUCAUGGGACUUGAGCGAAGGUUCAGGUCUCCUGCCUCUUAGACCGGAGGACACUGCGUUAGGCUGGUUUCACAGAGCAGCGAACACCUCCUUCUCUUAACAGUGGAGGGAUCACAGGCCACAGCAUUCCCGGUCCAAAAUGCUUGGUGAGCCAAGCCAUUGAACCAUCAUUUUU
rnacentral:SRP_RNA from 1 species